rnacentral:rRNA from 1 species
UACGUAGGGGGCAAGCGUUGUCCGGAUUUAUUGGGCGUAAAGAGCGUGUAGGCGGCUUGGCAAGUCCGCUGUGAAAACUUGAGGCUUAACCUCGAGACGUCGGUGGAAACUGCCUGGCUAGAGUCCGGAAGAGGAGAGUGGAACUCCUGGUGUAGCGGUGAAAUGCGCAGAUAUCAGGAAGAACACCCGUGGCUAAGGCGGCUCUCUAGUACGGUACUGACGCUGAGACGCGAAAGCGUGGGGAGCGAACAGG